ACUCCUACGGGAGGCAGCAGUAGGGAAUCUUCCACAAUGGGCGCAAGCCUGAUGGAGCAACACCGCGUGAGUGAAGAAGGGUUUCGGCUCGUAAAGCUCUGUUGUUAAAGAAGAACACGUAUGAGAGUAACUGUUCAUACGUUGACGGUAUUUAACCAGAAAGUCACGGCUAACUACGUGCCAGCAGCCGCGGUAAUACGUAGGUGGCAAGCGUUAUCCGGAUUUAUUGGGCGUAAAGAGAGUGCAGGCGGUUUUUCUAAGUCUGAUGUGAAACGCCUUCGGCUUAACCGGAGAAGUGCAUCGGAAACUGGAUAACUUGAGUGCAGAAGAGGGUAGUGGAACUCCAUGUGUAGCGGUGGAAUGCGUAGAUAUAAUGGAAGAACACCGAGUGGCGAAGGCGGCUACCUGGUCUGCAACUGACGCUGAGACUCGAAAGCAUGGGUAGCGAACAGGAUUAGAUACCCCGUGUAGGAUAGCG
rnacentral:rRNA from 1 species